GACGAACGCUGGCGGCGUGCUUAACACAUGCAAGUCGAACGAUGAAGCCGGAGCUUGCUCUGGUGGAUUAGUGGCGAACGGGUGAGUAACACGUGAGUAACCUGCCCUUGACUCUGGGAUAAGCGUUGGAAACGACGUCUAAUACUGGAUACGAGCUAGGACCGCAUGGUCACUAGCUGGAAAGAACUUCGGUCAAGGAUGGACUCGCGGCCUAUCAGUUAGUUGGUGAGGUAACGGCUCACCAAGACGACGACGGGUAGCCGGCCUGAGAGGGUGACCGGCCACACUGGGACUGAGACACGGCCCAGACUCCUACGGGAGGCAGCAGUGGGGAAUAUUGCACAAUGGGCGCAAGCCUGAUGCAGCAACGCCGCGUGAGGGACGACGGCCUUCGGGUUGUAAACCUCUUUUAGCAGGGAAGAAGCGAAAGUGACGGUACCUGCAGAAAAAGCACCGGCUAACUACGUGCCAGCCGCCGCCGUAAGAC
rnacentral:rRNA from 1 species